CUGCAAAUCUGCCAGCAGGAGUGCACCAGCAGGAAGCAGAUGAUCCAACCACAGGCUCUGCGUUUCUGCCACUUAACAGCUUCAUCACACAAGUGCUGUCAACAGGGAGAGCUCUGGGCGCGGGCUGGGGGCUGCGGGGGGGUGGCAAAGGAUAUUUUUAGCACGACGCGCAUGACAAUUUAUCUGCUUGAUGGCUGCUCUGCUGAUUAUGUCAUUAUUAAGAAGAAAAAGUCUGACCCCCUCCCUCCCCAUUCCCUCGCAUUGGAAAUAAUCUCAGAUGGAACACUAUACUCAAACUCAAUCCUGAUUGGAUAACAGGAGACACACACGACCUUGAUCACAUUACGCUUUCGAGACAAUGGGAAAUUCAAUUCCAGAUUAGCUGUGAGAAUAACGCAGGGGGUUGGCUGGGCAAAUGGUAAAGGUUCAUGCAUAACAUAAUAUAGCUUGAGUGGAGCUGGGCAUAUAAGAACUAGUUUUGUACUCUGUGUGUUGGUACAAAUUUUUUGAUAGUGGUUAAAAUCACAUUACACUUUAUCAAUGAAACUUUCAUUGUACCUUGGGUUGAUAUCGAUGUUCUUUGUAAUUCUACCUAUUAGUUUUGAUUAUCACCUCUCUUGCUACUAGCUAUAAACCACCUUGCUGUAUAUAAGUAAUCUCCUGCACUGUUUAUUCCAUGUCUCUCUUUCUAUUUCUUUUCUUUCAUUUUGUUCUGGCUGAACGUGUGUGUGCUGUGUCCACACGACAGAUCCCCCCCACAUCACACACCGGCUCCGAGGGCUAGCGAGUCUAAAAAUGGUCAGCAAAGCGACGGAAGAUGGCAUCGAGGAAGAGAGGUUUUAGAGUCUCUUUGGGCUAUGUAGCUUUUUCUGUGUUAUUAUAAUUUCAUAUAGCCAACUUCCAAAGAGCUGUUUAAUGAUGAAUGCCUAUAAAUGACUCAUAAGGGCCAAGGGACCAUGGUAUGACAGCAAGCAUUAGGAGCAGCUCUCAGUCCUUCCCUGGCAUGGAACUUUUAUAGUGAGGGGAGAGAAGAAGGGAUGAGGAAGGAGAGGAGAAUGGCUCGGAGUGAACAAGCAGAGAUUCAAAGAAGGGUUGUUGUAGAUCAUCAGAUAUAUCUAUUGCCUAUGUUUCAGUGUGCCAAGGUUGACUCAUUGUUGAGGCACAUUGCAUUCAGGGGAAAGAAGUGGAUGCGCUUCAACACAUUACAUUUUUUAAUCGUACCCCUUUUCGCUUUUUUUGUUUUGGAAAAUUCUCCACAAAAUAAACUGUCUGUCAAAUCUGAGUAAUUUAAUGUCAACGUUCAAAAUGGACCUGUCUUGUCCUCGCGUCUCUCUCGCUCUCUCUCUCUCUCUCUCUCUCUCUCUCUACCGUUCUGUUUCUUUGUUUUCUAUUUCCAUGCAGGGUUGCAUGACCGUAGGCGUCCGGUCCACUACGGCCUGUGUUGCUCGCAUUCCGGCCUCCAGCCCCCAUCGGAGCGCCACGAGAUGACUGGCCUGUCCGACCCAGAGGGCGGGGGAUGCAGCAGUCCACCACAGGGCGCAGUACAGUCGGGUGUACACAGGCUGGAGGAGCCCCCUACGCAGCACCAAGCCUACUGGGCUCAGAUUUAGAAAACCUAUAGGCUGCAGGUGCAUAGGCGCGGCCCCUCGCGAAACUCAAAGCGCUCGUCUCACCUUAUUUUGCCCACCCCCCCCCCCCUCCUGCCGACGUGUGGAUGGAUGGCUCUGGAGUUCAGAGAGUACGCCUGGCCCCACUUGACUGGCUCACAGGCACUGUGCAGUCAUUCAACAUAAUGGCUACAGACGCGUCGUAUACCCUCACAGCUCGGCGCGAGACAAGCUGUAAAUAUGGCCGUGGUGGGGAUGGUGGGGGUGGAGGAGGUGGUGGAGGUGGUGGUAGGGGAGGGGAAACAACAGCUAUUUCGAAACAAUCUGAGAGGAGGAAUUUUAAACCCGAUUUAUGCCAAAUUAAAGAAAUAGUGGAAAGGGUUAGGGUCAAUAUGCAGAAAAAGGGUCCAGGGAAUUCACCAUAGACCAUGCACAUGAAACAAAAACAGCAGGCCUUUUGAACUAUUAUGGUCUUUUGGCCAACCUCUGUUGAAACAUUAAUAUAUAUAUAUAUAUAUAUACAGUAUAUAUAUAUAUAUACCAUUUCAAUCUACAUUGACUUUUGUUUUUUCAAAAUGUAUGCUCAACGUUGCUGCAGAAAAGAUGAUGAAGCCAUGGCAUUAGGCUACCCUGUGACACUGUGCUAUGCCAAAUUAUCCAAACUGCCUUUUGUUGCAUAACUCAUCUGAUGGACCUACACACACACACACUCACACGCACACACACACAAUGUUAGUAAUCAAUCCCAGGCUUUUAACCUAAUUUGGUAAAAAGUCAUGAAGUUUGAUGAUCUGAUUUCCCAAACUUCAAAACGUAAUCAUGAGACCAAUAUUAAUUGCGACAUGAUCUUGUUCUUAGUCUGUCGUUCUAACACCUGUCAUAAGCAUCCCACGAUUUGCAAAAGAGGCUCGAAAGGAAAUACAAUAAAAAACAUUGAGGUGAUUCCUGCCAAAGGAUUUAAAAUCAAAUUAAAAAUGUUUAAAUUUUUCAGAUGUCCGGCUAUAAUGUAUGGUGAUGUAGUUGCCAGGGACCUGUCUAAGAGGCCUGCAGCCAAAUUCCUAAUCCGCAUAAAUAACCUUUCCAUCAUAUUUGAGAGGGUCUUCUUUUGAAACGUAAUUACUGCAGAAAUAUGAGUACCACAGAAUGCGGUUAUUUGUGUGCUGACAAUAGCCUCAGGAAAGGACUUACCCAUGCAAAUCAAACACACACAUGUGUUUUGUUUGCAUGUUAGUGGCAAAAACACUGCAGGCUAAUGACGCACUGCACAUGGCUAUAAUAUCAUUUUAAUUGCAUGCAAAGAGGAUCACAUGAAAGAUGGAAGAUUAAGCAGGACUUAAAGCUUUUAGGAAAAUAUAUGUGGAUGUGAUUGGGGGAUAAAAAGCCCACUCAUUGAAUUACACAUGUAAUUGCACUAUGGGUAAACAUUCAAGUAAUUGCAGGGGCCUCAGCAAAGUAGCUGACAGAUGAGGAUGAAUGCGGAUAAAGGAGUUGAUGUGCGCUUCAAUUAGCCUAUUGAUGAAGAGGAGCAGAAAAUACUCACGCACUAGUGUGUAAAGACUCUAGGAUGGAAAGAAAAAAAUGACAGAUGUGUUACAGUCAAAAUGUAUCAUAAUUAAGCAUAAACAUAGUGGAUUAUACGCAAAUAUAUACAUAUAUAUAUAUAUUUAAAGAGAGAGAGAUAUGUAUCAUGGUACCUGAUUGAUAGGAAGGUGUUGUAACAGGCAGUAUUGGAUACCUAGGCACACAGGAGGACACUAGAGUCAUAGCACACAAUGGUCUCCCACUCAAUAAAUAUUCACAUAUUUACAUAUGGACACAGUGCAUUGGUUUCAUGUGUCACUCCCUGCAAUAAGCUUGAGGAGCGUGAAUGGUUAACAGUGGUAGUUGGUAUUUCGCAUAACCUCCAUUCUUGCCAAUGGUUUUGUGAUACACAGUCAACCCCUCAUGUUUCCAUACUGAAUGACCUGCUGUUAUUUUGAUAUAUUUUCUCUCUCGUCCAUGUAUUUUCGUAAAGUGCCAUUGAUCUUAAAGUCUCGAAUCUGAGGUAAUUCUAAGGGAUGACAAGUAGGAAUCUGUUGAAGGAUAUAAAGGAACCAUCACAACUGUGUAUUUUGGUCUAAGUACCUGCUAAAGUUGUGGCACAUUAAGACAACAUAUGACGUUGAUGUGUUUGUUUCCUGAUCAACAGUUGACAUGACCAAUCUCGGUUUGAAUGAAUUACAACACAAAUUGGGUCUUAGACUCUGGGGGUGGGAACUUACGCAUAAAGUCAAAGGAGCACAUAAUUCACGUAAUAAUGCAGGCUGGUGUUUUGAUGGUAAACUCAUCCUUCUCCACUGUCAUUGGCUGCUACAGAAUCCCAUCUGAACGCAGCUUUAAGGGUGAGAUAAUCUGAAUUUUAGAGUAAUGAUACAUAUAUGAUAUUAUACAUCAUAACAAACCCUCUUAACUACUGGGCAAUUCAAACUGAGUCCAGGGAGCAUGUGGGCAUAUGUGUUUGCCUAUAUAUUCACAUCUUAGCAAAAUAUCAAUAUCUAGCAUCCUUUUCAUUGGUUUUUACUAAAAGAUAGGUGUCAUAGAAAUCGUUGUUUGACAUUUUUCACUAGAUCUUUGCUAAAUACAUCUGCAUAAUGCAUUAAUUUGCUGAUAUCAUUAGGUAUAAUCCAUUCAAAGCUGUCGCCCUCGAUUCCUAGUUUAAAAAAAACACUCAACACUCAACGCUUAUUCAAUAACCUCAUAUCCCAAAGACGUGAUCUGUAAUAUUAACGGGUUACACCACCUCCGCCACUUCAUUACGGGCUUUGCAGUCUGUAUAAUUCCCUGGAAUAUCGACGCCCAGCCGUAAUCCUUUUUGCGCAUUAAAGCAAAAGAAGUCAUUAACUACACGGUUCACUUUCUUUUUUAAGGAUAAAUCCGGGAGGCUUGACGACAAUGGAGGACAAGAGACUAGUUCUAUCGGUAUCUUUGGAGUGGACCUUACAGGACGCAGUCCUCAGUAGGCUCUGGGCAUACAGGCCGACGUGGUGAGGGGGUGAAAGGGGGUUUCCUUCUCCAUUUUGGUCCCAAACUAAAGACAUUUAAGACCCCCGGGUCUCCUAAAGUGUAAAAAGUGAGAGCAGGUCGGCGUGAGCCCCGUUGGAACCCAUUACCACAUGUGGAUGGAUGGACAGAGCAAAGUGCGCUGCGUAUGAAUGUAAUGCAACAAGUGUGAUUUUAUAACCUCAAGCAGCAGAAAACAGAGCAAAAAUGACCAUUGAUUAUUGGUCUCUGGAGUUUUAUUUCAUUUCUUAUUUAUUUUUGUUUCUGGUUUUGAAUUCUUUCUUUUAUUUUUCUGUUUGUUUCUGUUAAUCGGUGACUGAAAUUAGCAAUUUAAACACAAUGUAAACAGAGGGAGCACCAUGUUAGUUGGUCUGGAAUUUGUAAUGUAGAUUAUUUGUCCCUUGUCUUUCUUUCUGGUUAAAUAGUAAUUACUCUUCUGGAGCACAAUAAAUUUUAAUAAGCUGAUAA
ensembl:lncRNA